AUGGAUCCCUGGGCCUCCUACGGCGCUCACCGCAUCUGCUGCAUUCCAUGUGGACAUGUCUACGGCAGAUCCUGCUUGGAGAGGUGGCUACGCCGCGGCGGCAACACCAGCGCCAAGUGCCCUCAGUGCAGUGAAAGGUUCAAGCACAGGCACAUCAUCAAUCUCUACUCGUCGGUGCAUCUCUGGAACGAUUGCUACCUCAAAGAGAUCCGAGCUCAAAGUACGAGUUCAAGUUCUUCUGUACACCCUCGUCCACAUGCUAUUUCAGUUAGGAUCUCCCAACUCGAGGCCCGGAUGGAGGAAGAAAGGAGGCUACGGGAGGAAGCCAUGAGAAGGCAAGAGGAGAGGAUAGCGGCACAGAAUCAAUUCUUCGAGGAGAGGAUGGCGGCACAGAAUCAACUCUUCGAGGAGAGGAUGGAGGCACAGAGUCAAUUCUUCAAGGAGCAAAGGGCGGCACAGCGUCAAGACAUCGAGGAGAGCAGGGCGGCACAUAAUCAAUUAUUGGAGGAGAGGAUGAGUCAAGCCAUCAAGGAGAGCAGGGCGGCACAGAAUCAAUUCUUUGAGGAGAGGAUGGCGGCACUGAGUCUAGCCUUCAAGGAGAUGCUGGCGGCACAGAGUCAAGCCAUCGAGGAGAGGAUUAGUCAAGGCAUCAAGGAGAGGUUGGAGGCAGAACGAGCUCUCUACCAGGAGCAAUUCCAGAGUCCUUAUGCUCUCCACGGCAGAAGUCCGCCAUCGAUGCCAAGCCUUCCUCCUCCACGUGCUCCACACACUCAUACGCAUCUAUCAGCUAGAUCGAAUGACCCGGGAGGUGGUACAUCCGCACAUGGUCAAGGAAGCUCAAGCACCCAUCAUGAUGGUGGUACUCCAAGGUUUUCGACUCGACGAGUCGUUCUGGGGUACGAGUCGUGCUGUGCCGCUCUACUAGACGACGACCCCCAUGAAUUUUUUAGCAAUGCUAUCAAUCACACAUAUACAUUGCCAAACCUUGUCAACUUACGGGCACCGCUGAACUCCUGGACAAGGUUUGCCGGUAUGCGAGAACCAGAUGCAACAAUACACGCUCUGCGUUGA
rnacentral:rRNA from 1 species